GAAAACAUCACAAUAUAAUAAUACACUAAUUAGACUCAAGGACAAAACUACUUAAAUUAGAAUGCAUGCACCCUCAUUAAAGUCUUUUAUCUCGUUUCUCGGUUUUUGCAUAUUUUUGAUUAUUCGGCAGCCGUCCAAGGAGUCGCUUGAGACGCCGGUCGGCCGCUUACGCCCAUAAUUCCUCCGUUGGCUCCUCGUAUUUCCCUCCACGAUAUCGAAAUAAAUUCCCAAAAAUUAUUUAAGCGUAUAAUUAAAUUCUCGCCUUCAUUUCCUCUAAAAAAAAUAUAUUUAUUUCGGACUUAAGAUAAAUUAUUCAUACUUCAAAAAUUAUUCCGGAAUUUAUUUAAAUAUUCCUCACCAUUAAAUUUAUUCAUCGGCCCAAGGAUUUAAAUUAAUCUGGCCCAAGUAAAUUUUAUUCCCAGUCCAACUAAUUCUUGGCCACCUCUUUUAUUUAUUUAUUAUUGUUUUUUUUAAAUAUUGACUGCAGCCCAACUUACUAAAAGGAGUUGGGCUCGGAUUUUAUUUUGCAUGGCCUAAUUCAAAUUAUGUUAAAUGCCCAAAACCAUUUAAUUCCUUAGCCCAAGUAAAGAAAACUAGCCCAAAACUUAAGCCCAAUUAAAGAAACCCUAUGUAAAAACUAAGUCUUCUUCCUCCCUCCCUCAUUCAUCAACUGAACGACAGCAGCCUCUCUCUCCCCUCUCUCUCUCGUCGCCGCCACUCCACCGCCCUGCCAGCGCCGCCGCUCCGGCGGCGCCCCUCUCUCCCUCUCUUGUUUCCCUUCUCUUACUCUCCUCCCUCCUCUCUCUUCUCUCCGCCUCACGCCGCCGCCAUCCCCCUCCGUCUUCCUCCCGAUCCGCCGCUGCUUCUUCUCCACGCCUCGCGCUGCCGGAACAGCUCCCCGAAGCCACCACAGUCGCCGCCUCCUCGCCGGACUCCCGAAAGGUUGUGAAAUGAGUGACGUAUCGGGGUGGGGGUUGUCCUUGGUUGUCUCCGGGCUGCCGAAGAGCCAUCGCCGGAAAUCCGGCAGAUUCGUAUUCACGAGAUAAGCUCAUUCUUUAUAGUUAUUAAGAUUUUACUUUGGUUCUACUUACUGUAUUUGGUGAAUUGUGACUAUAUGCCUUAUUUGGAAGACUCAAUGGUGAAAUAUGUUGUUUUAAAUUUGUUUUGGCAGAUUCUACUUCCAACUAUACGUAUAUGUAUGCUCGUAUAUAUAUAUAUAUGAAAGAAAAGAAGGGUUUGAGAUUUACCUUUUCAGGUGGAAUAAGCGUUAUGGAGUUGUAGUGCUCGACUCCACAAUUAUCGGCCGCCCUUCUCCUUCAAUUUCUAUGUGGAAAUUUCUUUUUUUUUUUUUUAAUUUUGGUUGUGAAAAUAAGUGGAUAUCUAAAUAUAUAUGUACACAAAGGAUGGCAAUGAAGUGACGUUGGCAGCCAAGUUGUCUUACAUAUUCUUUUCUCAAAAUAUUCUACUUUGUGAUAAGGAUUGCCUAAGGAUUGUCUGCUUCUAAUUAAAUGCAGUUUUAAUGCUGUGUCGGAAGAAUCGAUCCUCUAGGAUCUGCUUCCAUUUUUUUAAUACAAUUAUUUAUUAUUAUUAUUAUUAUUUAAUUAUUUAAGUAAUUGUUUAUUGAUUUAUUCACUUGUUUAUUAAAUUUUGGUGUAGGUAUAAUCGUUUCAAGUUCGUGGCCGUUCGCGUUGAAGUACCCGUUUUCAUAAAACAUACGAUGUAUAAAUUAAAUUUUCGUUGGACUUUUGUUGGAUGUAUCGGACAUUUAAAAUUUUAAAUUUUUGGAGUCUUAUUUAUUUAUUCAUUUAAAUUUAUUAUAUUCA